CCCUUAGAUGUUCGGGGCCGCACGCGCGCUACACUGAAGGAAUCAGCACGUCUUUCUCCUUGUCCGAAAGGACUGGGUAACCCGCUGAACCUCCUUCGUGCUAGGGAUUGGGGCUUGUAAUUCUUCCCCAUGAACGAGGAAUUCCCAGUAAGCGCGAGUCAUAAGCUCGCGUUGAUUACGUCCCUGCCCUUUGUACACACCGCCCGUCGCUACUACCGAUUGGAUGGUUUAGUGAGAUCCUCGGAUUGGUCCCGGCGCGGCCUCUGGUCGUGCCGGAGUGCCGAAAAGAAUGUCGAACUUGAUCAUCUAGAGGAAGUAAAAGUCGGAACA
rnacentral:rRNA from 1 species